CAGAGUUAUCUAACUCCUAAACCCAUGUGAACUUACUUAUGUUGCCUCGGCGGGGAAAACCUACCCGGUACUUACCCUGUAGGUGAUAUCCGCCGGUGGACUUCUAAACUCUUGUUAUCAAUGUGUUACUCUGAGUAAUUAUUUUAAUAAGUUA
rnacentral:misc_RNA from 1 species